CAUGCAAGUCGAACGGUAACGCGGGGCAACCUGGCGACGAGUGGCGAACGGGUGAGUAAUGCAUCGGAACGUGUCCAGUAGUGGGGGAUAGCCCGGCGAAAGCCGGAUUAAUACCGCAUACGACCUACGGGUGAAAGCGGGGGAUCGCAAGACCUCGCGCUAUUGGAGCGGCCGAUGUCGGAUUAGCUAGUUGGUGAGGUAAAGGCUUACCAAGGCUACGAUCCGUAGCUGGUCUGAGAGGACGACCAGCCACACUGGGACUGAGACACGGCCCAGACUCCUACGGGAGGCAGCAGUGGGGAAUUUUGGACAAUGGGCGCAAGCCUGAUCCAGCCAUGCCGCGUGCGGGAAGAAGGCCUUCGGGUUGUAAACCGCUUUUGUCAGGGAAGAAACGCUUCGGGCUAAUACCUUGGAGUAAUGACGGUACCUGAAGAAUAAGCACCGGCUAACUACGUGCCAGCAGCCGCGGUAAUACGUAGGGUGCGAGCGUUAAUCGGAAUUACUGGGCGUAAAGCGUGCGCAGGCGGCCAUGCAAGACAGAUGUGAAAUCCCCGGGCUCAACCUGGGAACUGCAUUUGUGACUGCAUGGCUGGAGUGCGGCAGAGGGGGAUGGAAUUCCGCGUGUAGCAGUGAAAUGCGUAGAUAUGCGGAGGAACACCAAUGGCGAAGGCAAUCCCCUGGGCCUGCACUGACGCUCAUGCACGAAAGCGUGGGGAGCAAACAGGAUUAGAUACCCUGGUAGUCCACGCCCUAAACGAUGUCAACUGGUUGUUGGACGGCUUGCUGUUCAGUAACGAAGCUAACGCGUGAAGUUGACCGCCUGGGGAGUACGACCGCAAGGUUGAAACUCAAAGGAAUUGACGGGGACCCGCACAAGCGGUGGAUGAUGUGGUUUAAUUCGAUGCAACGCGAAAAACCUUACCUACCCUUGACAUGCCAGGAACUUACCAGAGAUGGUUUGGUGCUCGAAAGAGAGCCUGGACACAGGUGCUGCAUGGCCGUCGUCAGCUCGUGUCGUGAGAUGUUGGGUUAAGUCCCGCAACGAGCGCAACCCUUGUCAUUAGUUGCUACGUAAGGGCACUCUAAUGAGACUGCCGGUGACAAACCGGAGGAAGGUGGGGAUGACGUCAGGUCAUCAUGGCCCUUAUGGGUAGGGCUACACACGUCAUACAAUGGCCGGUACAGAGGGCUGCCAACCCGCGAGGGGGAGCCAAUCCCAGAAAACCGGUCGUAGUCCGGAUCGCAGUCUGCAACUCGACUGCGUGAAGUCGGAAUCGCUAGUAAUCGCGGAUCAGCUUGCCGCGGUGAAUACGUUCCCGGGUCUUGUACACACCGCCCGUCACACCAUGGGAGCGGGUUCUGCCAGAAGUAGUUAGCCUAACCGCAAGGAGGGCGAUACCACGCAGGU
rnacentral:rRNA from 1 species